rnacentral:rRNA from 1 species
AUUGAACGCUGGCGGCAGGCUUAACACAUGCAAGUCGAACGAGUGGCGGACGGGUGGAUAGUGCUUGGGAAUCUAGCUUAUGGAGCGGGAUAACUACGGGAACCUGUAGCUAAUACCGCGUACCAUAGGCUGAGCCCACGUGGGAUUAGGGAGUUGGUGAGGUAAAGGCUAACCAAGCCGACGAUCUCUAGCUGGUCUGAUAGGAUGACCAGCCACACUGGGACUGAGACACGGCCCAGACUCCUACGGGAGGCAGCAGUGGGGAAUAUUGCGCAAUGGGGGAAAGCUGACGCAGCCACGCCGCGUGAAUGAAGAAGGUCUUCGGGUUGUAAAGUUCUUUCGGUAGCGAGGCGUUAACUACAGAAGAAGCACCGGCUAACUACGUGCCAGCCGCCGCGGUAAUUC